rnacentral:misc_RNA from 1 species
AGCGCACACGUGACGAGGGUUUUGGCAGCAGACCGACUGGGCCCGAGCGAGACGUCAGACAACACCCAGUCAUUCAGGCGACGUCUGUAAGAUUAGCUUAAAACCAAAUUUUCAUACUGAUGCAGUAGUAGGUCACUGAACACUAGCAGAAAGUAUCUAAGAAACCAAGUGAAUGUGAAGUGCAAAGAAGAUUAAAAAAAUGUCUCUGUAUCCAACUUUACCCGAUGAUUUUCCUGCCUUCAGGCACGCCAAGCUUACUGAUCAACCUCACUCACUCCUCCCGACAUGCUCAGUGUGCUAUGAUGAGUUUUCUGAGAUGCGGAUCCCCAGAUACCUUCUAUGCCAUCACACCUUUUGCGAGGAGUGUAUACACCAGAUGAUUAAGUGUGACAAGGUUGAGUGCCCCCUCUGCCGGAAGGUCUGCCGGGUUACCUCGGUAAACCUUCUCCAGACCAACAAUGAUGUUCUAACCAUGGCAAAAUAUGGGAAUCUUUUUGUCAACCUCUGGUGUCAUGACUGCCAAGACACGCCAAAGGCCACCUGUAUGACUCACCGCGUGGACAACCAGUCACCCACCUCUGAGCCUACUUUGGGACAACAGGUUGACAACACUGUAGAAGCUUGGACUCCCACAGUGAUGCGUAUGGUGGAGACGACACAAGGCUGGGCAGUGGUUGCUAUGGAUGCCACUUAUGCAACCAUCACCAGUGUCUCUGAGUAUGUGGCUCCCUUGACCACAUACAUCAGUGAGUGGUUCAAUUCUUUGUUACAAGAUGAUGACCCCUGAUGGGCAGACUCAGACACCAACGAUAAAAGGAUGGACUAUUGGAUGAUAUCAAUAGUCUAUUAUUUUCAUAGAUGUUCUUAGCAUUAUAAUAAGUAUUGUAAAAGAGGCAAUGGAGGAGGGAGGACAACUUCCUGCUCAGCAGCUCGCGAUUCCUUUAUAACAACAGUAUGUGCAGUAUAUAAUUCACCGUAAUUCUCAUAUUAUUUAUGUUCAUUUGGUGCUGGUUUUAUAAAACAUUAUUGAAAAAUAAUACAUUUUUCCUCUAAAAUCCCACACUCAUUCCCAGAAGAGAUAUUGCGCCGUAGUACCUGUAUAUUCUCAAUCUCUUGUUUACAGAGUUAACACUGGCCUGCUUCACUAAUAGUGUUGCCAACACUCACCAUCUCUCAAGCACCGUUGUUAUCACUGCUCAAGAUGGUUGGUGCUUACCACAGGAUCUGUUUUGGGUCAAUAAUAUUGUAGCAUAUUUAUCAUAACUUAAUAAAUAUUAUUGAAGUGUA